AAUAUUAUGUACUAGCCGAUGCCCGCGACUUCGCCCGCGCGGAUUUAGGUUUUUAAAAAUCCCGUGGGAAUUUUUGAUUUUCCUGGA